GGAAUCUUCCACAAUGGACGAAAGUCUGAUGGAGCAACGCCGCGUGAGUGAAGAAGGGUUUCGGCUCGUAAAACUCUGUUGGUAGAGAAGAACGUUGGUGAGAGUGGAAAGCUCAUCAAGUGACGGUAACUACCCAGAAAGGGACGGCUAACUACGCGCCAG
rnacentral:rRNA from 1 species